ensembl:lncRNA
CGUAAGGGAUCGCUGUUCAACUUCGGUACUUGGGAGGAUCGCUUGGACACCAUUGGGAAAAGCCAUUGAAAAGGUCGUAAGACUGCAGUUCAUUCAGAAGAAAGGAACAGAGCUAAUUAAUCGAGAAAAUGCCUCCUCUUGAUACUGAUGUACUGAACUAUUGCAGUCUACAGAUCUACAGCCGACUUGCGGAAAUUAUUGGCCUUGGUAAUAGAGAAUUCAUUACCCACCCUGCCUUAGUUGUAAAGCAGGUGUUGUGUGACCACAUGAAAGAGAUCGAGGCCUCUUUAAAGGAAGCACAGAAGAAGGGUCGGUUACAACAUAAAAUUUCUCAAGUAAAUGGAAAAUAAGUGAAAUUCUCACAGAAUGCAGAGGAAAAGGCCAAAGAAAUAAGAUAAGGAAAGAAGAGAAAAGGAGAGAUGUAGAGGGCUUGUCCAGGAGAUACAAUCUACGUGUAAUAGGAAAACCUGAAAGAGAGUACAAAGCAAAUGAAGCUGAAACAAUAAUUACAGAGCUAAUUGAAGAAAAUUUUCCAGAGUUGAAGAACGAAGUAGACCUGAAAAUGAAGAAGGCUCACAGGGUACCUUUAAAAUUUAAGUAGAAGAAAGCAACACCUAGCCAUGUCCUUGUGACUUUUAAAUUUCAAGCAUAAAGAAAAAAUUUUGCAAGUAUCCAGAGAAAACAGGUUACAUAUAAAGGGGCAAAAGUCAGACUGACCUCAGAUUUUUCUCUUACAAUUCUAAAUACCAAAAAACAAUGGAACAUUUACAGAAUUUUAAGGGAAAAUAAUUUUGAACCAAGAAUUAUAUACCCUUCCAAAUUAGUAUUUGUGUAUGAAGGCAACUGGAAGACAUUCUCAGAUACUAAGGGGUUAAGAAAGUAUAUCGGCAGGGCCGGGGUUUCAGUGGCACCGCUCCUGCCUCGAAAGUGGAAGGUCCUGACUUCGAUCCUCAGUACCAAAAAAAUAUAUAUACCAACAAAGAACCUCCUCUGAAAACUUUUAUGAACGAUUUACUGCAUCCAACAGAAAAAUUAAAUAGGAUAGGGGGGAUAAUUGUAAGGACAAUUUAAUGACUAAAACUAAUUAAGAAUAUGAAAUCUAAAAUUGUUACAUUUAGGGUAAUAAACCUAAAUGCUAAAUGGAUUUGUAAGCUAGAUCUAAAAUUUUCAGUUUAUAUAGUUUUAAAUUGUCAAAAUGCAUACCGAAUAGUCAGUGUCAAUAAAUGUCUUAUUUUUAUUUUAUGUAUUUAUUUAUUUAUUUAUCUUGGUGCGAGGAUCAAACUCAGGAUCUUGCAGUUGCGAGGCAGGCAGGGCGCCACUGAGCUAAAUCCCCGGUCUAAUAGUGCUUUAUUUUUGCUGUGUAAUACAAAGAUGGAUGUUAAGCCAAAUGUAUGUUAAAUAGAAGUGCCAGGACAAGUAUAGAAAAGACAUUCUAAAUGUUAAGCUGAAGCAAUUGGAAAGUAGUAGUUUUAGUUCCUUAAAAACUAACAAGUUCAUAAUGUUAAUACUAAUAAUGUAAGGAGAAAAUUUCCAAAGCCCUUGUUGGAGAGGGGUGGAUAUGUUUGAAAUGCUGAUUGGUUUGUAGAAGUCAAUUUGUCAUUAAGUUGUGGACAAAAAUAGAGUAUAUACAUUCCAGGUUUCUGGAACAGAAAACAAGUGAAAACCCAAGGAAAAGUAGCAAAAGAAAAAUACCAAGUGUUAAAAUUUACGUAACAGGUAUUGACAGAAAUAGAGUUAAACUCACAAACUGGUUAAAUUUCCAAUUAAUAAGAUCUAAAUUGAAUAACAGAAGUCAAUCUCUGAUUUAGAUACUCACAUUUGUAUAAAACAAAGGUUAAAGGGGUUUAAAGGGAAUAGAAACUCUUUUAUCCUUAGGUCUCUAUGCCACCAAGGGAUUCAAUGUAAUACAUAAUUUGAAGCUGAUUUUAGUUCCUGAUCCCAACAUCCCGUGGAAAGAAAAAUCAUUCUGCAUGAAUGUUAUUGACUAUUUCUCAAUUUGGUAAAAUUUGAGGAAUUUAAGUGAAUAAAAUUAACAAAGGGUAAGAAAAAUUACAAAUUGGGGUGGUAUGCUUCUGCCACCCCUUCUCUCACAUACCAUCCCGUACAUACUAAAACAGAGGCAAGAAUAUUGACAGUAAUGACUUGAAACUUUGACAACCUGUGAAAAAUAAAUCUUACUUGUAUAUUCUAAGUACACUUUGGGCCAGAUGUAAAUUGUAUUAGUUGAAUUUCAUGAUUUGCUUGUUCCCUUACUCCUUUGCAAAAACAGUUUUGGCUUCACUUUUCCAAAUGUACGGCUCUCCCUGUUUAUCUUCCAUCUUCAAAACAUUUCCUCCUAGUGCACCAGGGAUUGUGAUCAGAGAUCCUUCAUUGUAUUGCUGCCAGUAAACUGCUUCGUAUUUAGGGAAUAAACAUGGAGUAAAAGAUAACAAGGAAGUAAGGUUAUAGAGGAAACUGAGCAGUUGGAAACAAUAUGAUUAGAAGAUCACAAUUUAUAACGAUAAGUUGUAGCUAGGGUUCAAAUAAGAAAUAGGGAAAUUCUGUUGAAAAUCAACUCCAUUGUUUCUUGUAAUAAUUACUUCUUGCCCCAACAAAUUACAAUAGUAUGGAUGAUGCACCAGCUAAUAAAAUUUUCAUAGUAGAACUGUUAUUUAUGUAGGGAUUCAUGUUACACUGGACUUUCACUUGGUUAAAAAAAGAUUUUGGGGGCUGGAGAUUCAGCUCAGUGGUGCUGCCGCCUGUCUCGCAAGCGCAAGGUCCGGAGUUUGAUCCCUGGUACCAAAAAAAAAAAAAAAAAUCCGAUUUUUACUUCAAUCAGUAUAGCUAUCAGUAGGAAAAAGAAAAUUUUAAUUGUGUUAUUUUGUCAAGGGCUGAAAGCCUUAGGACAUGUAAUUUUGGCGUUGCAUUUCUGCUAGCAUUUUGAUUAAAUUGAAACUAGGUAAUUAGUGGUGCCUGUUUUGAUUAACAAGGUAAGUGGAAUUAAGAAUAAAAAGCCCUGGGAAAGGGGGGAAAAAAACACAUGAAAGAGUUUCAACAUUUUCAUAGUUGUUUUUUUUUUUAAAGAAAAAUGUAUAAAUACAAGCUACAAAUUACAAUAUUUAGAUUCCUUAUUAAAGAUAAGCUGUAAAUUAUCAAAGAGAAAAAGUGAAGAUUAUAUCAUUACUUUUAACAGUAUUAAAGUUUCCAUUAUAAUCAUUUGUCCACUUAAUAUUGUUCUUAAACAUGUUUCUUCAGAUAAUUCCAGUGUUUUAUCCAUGUAUAGUAGUUACUUUUUUCUUUUACUAUAUAAGUUAUCCUUAAAAUAGUACAUGAAAAUAUUUUCUUUCAUAGUAUUUACUUGUUAUAUUUAACAUUACUAAUUAUUUGUAAAUGAAGUGUUUUCUUUUUAUGAGUGUGUUACAUUUCCCAAUUCCAGGCCCCAGAUAGGACCACUGUGAAUACAUCCACUUAUUAAUACUAUAAUAGAAAUAACAACAGCUUGAUCCUUAGCAGCAAUAUUAGUUUGCUUGGCCUGGAGAAACAAAUUACCAAAAGCUGAAUGGUUUAAAAUAAAACAAAUUGGAUCUUCUCAUCAUUCGGACAGCCAAAGUAAUCAAGGUGUAGACAAGGCUGUGCUCCCUCUGAAAGCACUAGGGCUCUAAGACUUACCAUUUCUCUUCCUUAAAUUUUUUUGGCUCUUUUGUUUCUAGGUGAAAAUUGUGACUAGUGACUUAAGGCCUUCUUUCUUAUAUAAGGAGUUUCAUAGUAUAAUUAUUUGGUCAGGAUUACUUUAUCCUACAAAUGUUGAUAAAUGUCUUCACAUUUUUUUAAUUCAGCAUACUUUGUAAUUUCUCUUGAUUUCUUGUUUAAUACAUGAGUCAUUUAGAACGUGGCAUUGUUUAAAGGUAAAUACUUUUGACCUGUUUUCAGAUUGUAGUUCCAAAAAAUAAAGAGUUCCUGUGAACACUUCAGGCCGCUUGAUGGUAUAUGAUCAAAACCAAGAAAUUGUCUGAUACAAUAUCACUAACCAUAAAGCUUAUUUAGAUUUCACUGUUUUUAUAAACAUAUGUUUUGUGUGUUUAUGGGACAAUUCUAUGAAAUUUUACUACGUGUAGAAUUGUGUAAGCACCGCCAAAAUCAGGGCACAUAGCCAUAUGAAAGAACAUAUCCUGAUAAGGCUGCUUAGCCCUGAAUUUAGGUGAUCUCAUCUCCCCUCAAGACUGAAGACACCAAGAUGAGAGGUUUACAGGGACAUGUUGCUACACUAGAUGCCUGGAACCAUUUUCCUAAAUCUGGGAUCACCUAGAUUCUGGAGAAUGGAGAAAGCCCAUAUGACUAAGACCACCACAGAUAAACAAUCCUUUCCUAGAAAUGAAAGCAUCCCUCAGCCAUAAAGAUUCCAGAACGGCAGGACAGAGAUAAUGAUCAACUGGACCCCAGCUAAUUCUUGAAAACUGUCCACUUACCUUUACCAGUGGGCCACUCUGAACCCUGUGUCACAGUGUGCCUCUUCCACCUACUUAAGCUGGAGUCCUUCCCUAUCUUCUAACUUUCCAAUUAAAUCUUUUCCCCUCUGUGGUUUUAAUUUCUGUUUCUACUAAAGCCAGGACCCAGGCUAGCCAGCAACACAACUUUAGUAAUUAGAGAAAAAUGUAAAGUACCAUUAUUAUUACCAGAUUAAAAAGUUAUUUAUUGCAAGCAGUAGUAGCUGAAAUAUUAGUUUACUAUAAAAAGUAUUAAAGUAGUACACGAAUGAUUAUCUUUUUAAAGUUUAAAUUCAAAAGUGAAAUAUUGUUUAAUAAAUUACAAUGCAUACUUCUAAAAUAUAAGAACUGUAACACUAGAGAAAAACUGUAUUAGAUAUUAGCAAAUAGAAUUAUAAAGACUAUUUUUCAAAGGUUGUGUUUUUAGCUGAGCAUGGUGGUACGCACCUGUAAUCCCAGUAUUCUGGAGACUGAGGCAGGAGGAUCACUGCAAGCUUAAAGCCAGCAUGGACUACACAGUGAGUUCAGGGGCAUCUAGAAUAUAUAGCAAAGCCCUGCCUUAAAAAAAAAAAGUAUUUUUAGUAGAGAGAAGAAUCUUGUUAACCCUCCACAGUACAGCCCUGAAUAAAAGGCUGAGGUAACAAGUAAAUGCCUGUGGAAUGUUAAUGUUAGUCCAGCAAAUGGGAGCCAUUUCUUUUGUUCUUAAUGACUUUGUACAGAAAACAAGGUUGGACUUUAAAAAAAUUAAAAUAAAAAAACAAUGGGGAGAACAGAGACAGCUAAUAUAAAUGACCAGAUGCAAAUAACCUCGGGGAAGGGGAAAAGGAGCAAUGAUAAUGUAGAACUGAGGCAGAUGAUCAAAGUGAACAGACUAAUUUUCAGAUUCAAAAGCAGAUCAUCCGAAAAGAAUUGAAAAAGAUAGGCUCUGACAGACUGUGACUAAAAAUAAUUAGAUUAAGGGUUUACUUCCAUCUGAUAAGGUCAUAUUUCUCAGUUAUGCUAUCUCCAUAUAAGGAGGUAAAUCGUGUUUAAUGACAAAGGACUUGGGCUCAGUCGGAAUUCUAAUUGGAAUUCCAGUUCUAACACUUCAGGCUAGUAACAUGGUGAGCAACCAAUCUGAUAUCUCACAGUUUCAGUAUCUACCUCAGCAAAGUGUGUAGAAAAGUAGUACCUGCUUCAAGGAUAAAUGGACAUGUUUCCCAUUUCUGCAGCUAACGCUGCAGGACUUUCUUGAAUUUAAGCCAACUUCACAACAACCUAUGGAGCCCUUUCAAGCCUUUUCUCCUCGGGAGUUAGACGUGUGUCUCUGUAUCUCUGAUUAUUCACUUCCAACUCCAUCUGCUAAAAUACUGCUCUUCUAAUAAUUUCACUUCUUCCUAGAUUCCGUUGCUGCUGUACUUCGCCUGCAAGAUAGGAUGCUUUAGAGUACUGAUGUGAUCUGAAACAAGCUUCAGUUUUCCUUGGCCAUUUGGACAAUGCCAACCUACCUCUACAGGAGCCUGCCCUCUGCUCAUAUCAGUUUGCCAACUCAUUCUUGCUAGCUUCUGAUACCUUGCUUUUCCUUUUCAAACUUAUUAAUAUUUCUCAUGUUCCUCAAAGCCAAGCCAGCCUGAGUUAUGGUAUAGAAAACAUGGGGAUGUUAAGAUAAGAAAUUGGGCCUUGGAUGUCAUAUGGCGCAACAGUAUUAUUUGCCCUACUUACUUAUUGCACAGGUUUACUGUGAAGUGGGAGUCUAUAUACAAAGUAUAUUUUAAACUAUAAAUUGUAAAAUUAUGACAGCUGAAAUUCCUCUUUUGUUUCCAGUUCUGUCUGACUUUCCAGUCAUCUUUUUUCUCCCUGAUGUGGCUACAUCACUAUAUUUCUCCUCUCUCAUUUUCUUACUCCUUUAUCCUCUUUCUUAUCUUCUAUUCUCACUACCUCCCUCCCUCUUUUAUGCCCUAUCAUCCAGUCUCCAGUACCUCCCUCCUCCCUGGGAGGUUAGUGCCUCUCAGAUACCAGCUGUCACCCUAGUUCCUGUCCUCUCCCUGGCGAGUGUUGGGAUGGGACUAGAAGUCAAGGCUUGGGACACACACCAAAGAUUGAACCAGGACCUUGUGCACGAUAACCAAGCACGUUACCACAACUCAUUCCCCACCCCGCUGCUGCAACAAAUUUAAUGGCAGAAUGGAAAUUGUACUGGCGUCACUGGGUGGGGGAGUGGGGGCCUGCGGGCGCCCUGCGCUCUACCUGGGUUUGGGGCAGGUGCGGUUUGCCCUGUGCAGGACUGGGGCAGGCAGGAGUCGGGCCUGGUCUCAGCUUAAGGUGACAGCGCGUUUUCCUGUCCCGAACUUGGCAGUCCGCACGGCGCGCUCUCAGGAGGAGGUUCGAGGUCUGUAUCUUCGGGGAGAUCCGCGCCCGGAGGAGCCCAACUUCUCCGUGUAGCACAAGGGCAGAAAGGCGAGCCCUCCUACUCUGUCCCCGUCCUCUUUCCUCUUUUGUCAUGCCGUCGCCAUGUAUUCUUGUUUCUGCAGCACAGAACGGGCCCGGGAGCCACACUGGCCAGGCAGGCUCUGGGCUGAGGCCGACGCACACCUUCCCUGUCCCCACACGCGGUGCCAGAGCAACAGCACCGGCGCCUUUCAGCCCCCUAGCGGGCACGUCGCUUAGGCCCACCUCAGCGCAGCGUUGAGCUUUGUGGACGCUGAGGUUUGGAUUUCCAUUUUAGUUCAUAAACAGUUUUGAGGUCUCACUGUAUCUUGGAGGGCGGGUGAUGAGUGACGAAUGGAGAAGGUGGAUGUGCAGCAGGCUUGCUCAGUGCUCCAAGGGGCUCCCAAGGCUCCGUCCAGCUCGGUGACCGCUGUCACACACCAGAGGCCCUGGGGUUGCCUUAGAACUGUGACAUUGCAAGUGUACUGCUUUCCCUGAUGGAAGAAAGAGCCUUUCUGGGGUUUUGUUUUAUUUUAUUUUCUCUUAACCUCCCCAAACCUGGAAGCUGAGCAGGAGAGGCACAGCAGCCCCACCUGGUUCCACCCUAACCGUGGGGGGCGGGGGGGGGGUUGACUUACUGUCCAACUUUAGGAAAUUAUAAACUAUUAAGAUGUAUAAAAUUAUAUUUUCAAAAUCUGUUUAGUGAUAUAGAAAAAGGAACACAUUUCUAAGUUAAGAAACAGGUCAGAAAACAAAUUUUAUGGAUGUAUUUUGCAUUUGCUUAGAUAAAUGAAUCAAAUACAUGAAAGUAUUUAUAGUGGGUAUCACUGGAUGUUAUGGCUUGUGUCUUGCUGUCCCCCAAAGCCUCAUGCAGUCACAGGUGGGACUUUUUCUGGAAUUGAUUCAUGGUGCAAUUCUAGGUUCAAGGGCACUAGGAUUAAGGGUGUGAGUGCUACUUGCCCUAAGUAGUCUGCAUAAGAUAAAAGGGCCAGAAAGACGCUGUUAAGGCCUCUGUCCUUUUGCUAACUUGUGGCCACCAUGAACUGAGAUACCCCUCUGCCACCCUGCCUUGGAGCCAGCCAAUUAUGGUCAGAAACCUCUACAAACUGUGAGCUGAAUAAACCUUUCCUCUCUUUAACUUUGGGUGUCAGGUAUUUUGUCUCAGCAAUGAGAAAAAAGUAACUAAGACACUAGACAAUGAGAUUAAGGUGGAUUCUAUUGUCUUCUCUAUCCUUUCUUCAUUAUGCAAAUGUUGAAAUACACAAAACACAUUCUUCUGUAAUAAUAGAAAAAGUAGAAAAUGAUUUUGGAUUAAUAAAAACAUCCUCUCCAAAAUUUGGGGGUUCAUUUGUGCUGAGUUCUUUCUAUCUAUCUAUCUAUCCAUCUAUCAUCAUCUAUCUAUUUAUUUUGAGACAGCGUCCCUUGCUAUGUAGUUUAGGGUGGUCUUUAACUCACCAUAUAACCCAGGCUAACCUUGAAUUUAUGGUGAUCCUCCUUCUUCAGCCUCCAGAGUGCUGAGAUUACAGGUGUGUGCCACCGUGCCUAGUUUGAGCUCAGUUCUUUUAAAGCAGGGAGUUUUAUCUUUUCCAUUCUUACCUUGUAGCUUGUCUCUAUAUUCUAAAAUAUAUAUGACAUUUUCUUAAAGCUAUCUUUCCUUCCUGCUCUCUGGUUGUCUGUGCAACGUCUAUCUUUACCCUCUCACAUGACUUUCUAAACAAGUUUGCCCCACGUUCUCUUUUGUUUGGUUAAUAGACCUUGUGGCAAUAAAUGGCUGCUGGCUGGCUUGCUUAGUAGAUGAAGUAUGUUCCUCACAGAGAGAGCACAUAUAACUUUUCAUUAACAUGAUUCCUUACCUCUACAAAUGUAAACUUCAUACUGAAUUUUGCUUAAAUACAGGGCCACUUCCAAGUGUUUUAGAGAAAUGAUGCAUUAAAAGGCAUAUUUAACCUAGAAAUUCCACAGUAAAUUUAUAAGCAUGUACCUACCUGUACUAAAAAAAUUCUUUCCUGGCUUGAUAGUUCAUACUUAUUCAAAUUAACAUGGAAGUUAAAUUCAGCCAGAUAAAUCCUUCUUGUCAUCCAUAUUGGUGCUAGUAAACAUCAUUUCAAAAACAUAGAAGAUGCCUGUGGCUUAGAGAAGGAAUUUUAUCUUCCUAAAAAAGAUAAGACAAGUAAUCAAAAUACUAGAGUCAAGAAUAAUUUUACUAGAAUCUAUGCUCACAAAUCAUUGUUUUUCCUCAAAUAUUUUUUCAUUCUAUUACUUGCUUUUUAAAUAACUAGAUGCCAUCCUACUCAUUAUUCAAACAGACAUUAAAGUAUUUUCAAAAUGGUCAAAAUUGAAAAAAAAAUAAUAAAUAGCCUUAUUUAUUAACAGGCGUGUACCUUUCAAAAAUUGUCAGAAACAGGCUGUUACAACUGGAAGAAUAUCCGAAGGAAAUGUUUCUUAGAAAAUAAGAAACAAUAAGGUUUUAUAUAUCACAUGAACUUUGCAAGUUUGAUGAGCUUUGGUCUGGCAGGUGUUGAAAUCUUUCGGAAAACCUGUAUGGGGGUAUAGUAUUUGGCUUGCUCUUGUUUCAGUCUAAUAUGUUCCAUUCCUGGAAUUUUUAGGAAAAGGAAGAAAUGGAAGGAACUCAGUGGAGUGAAUCAGGCUCUCAGGGAUCCCACAGGUCAGUCCAGCAUCCAAUCAGAGAACAUUUUACAUUUCUCCACAUAGGCAAGAAAAAUCAAUAUUUAAAAAAAAUUUUUAUUAGUAUAUGUCUGCAAUAUAUAAUGAAUAUAUUCAUCAUGGGGAGUUGGUGUAUGUACAUAUCACAUUUUAAUCAUUUGUACUUCCCCUUUUCCUCUCCCCCCAAUCAAUACAUUUGAUCUAUGAAGAUAACAGAAUUCUUUAUAACUUUUGUGUUUUUAUUUAUUUUUAUAUAGCUCUUCUACAUAUUUCUUUAUGAGUGAAGAAAUAUACCUCUGGCUAAAAUUGAUAAAUCCUGAAAUCUGAGUGGUUUAACACAAUAAAGUAUAUUUCCUGUUAGUAAUACAAUUUCAUAAUCAGUGUUCUUGGCAGACAGCUCUCCUGUAAGUGGAGAUCUAGUGUUCUAAGAUCCUUCCUGCUUGUGCUAUUAUCAACGUGUGCUGCUCACAAUCUCUGGGGGGUUGUUAUGGUUUGGGUCCAGAUGUCUCCUCAAAGCUUCAUGCAGUCAAAGGUGGAUUUUUCAGAGGUGGCUGAAUCUAGAGUGUGUGAUGCUGGGAAUAAAGGCCUGUGGUUACUAAACCAGUACACUGAUUGGUUUGGCACCACCCUAAUCCCAGUAGUCUGGAUAAGAUAAAAGGCACAGAAAGACACUGUUAAAGUUCCCCUGUUGCUUUUGCUACCAUGUGGGCACUGUUUCUCCUCUGCAAUGGCCCUCUGCCAUGUGCCACUCUGCCUUGGAGCCAGCCGAUUAUAGACUGAAACCUCUACAAACUGUGAGCUAAAUAAACCUUUCCUCCUUUAACUGUGGGUGUUGGGUAGUUUGCCUCACCAGUGAGAGAAAAGUAACUAAGACACAGGGGUUGUCUGCUGCCACCCACUUUAGAGGGGCAGAGAGCACGGGAAAAGCAUGGUGGUUCAUGCCUAUAAUCCCAGUACUUGGAAGGCUGAGGCAGGAUUGAGUUGAGUCCGGCCUGGGCUUCAUAAUGAGAUCAGAGCCAGCCUGAACUACAUAGUAAGACCUUGUCUCAAACAGACAAAUAGAGCAGGGGAAUCAUGUCAGAGUGAGAUGGCCAGGUCAACAAGUAGUCUUCAUCACUUUAAUUGACUGUCCCCGGACAGAAUCAGGACAAAUGAUUACCCGUACAUGCAAAAAUGGCUGGGAAAUGUAAUUUACAAGGUUCCUAGGUAGAAAACAAAGAAGGUUUUACUAAAAAAUAAAUAAAAAUU